rnacentral:tRNA from 1 species
GGUGGCUCAGUGGUAGAGUGCUUGCCUUGCAUGCAUGAAGCCCUGGGUUCGAUUCCUCAGUACCG